rnacentral:lncRNA from 10 species
AUGGAGGGUACUUUGCAAGGUGAUACACAAAAGUGAGAAAUGACCGGGCCUCCCGUCUGUCCAAGGACAAGCAUGGUUCCGGCAGGGUCUGCUGUGUGCACGGAGCACCCGUCAGCCUGGAGCAGACCUGAGACGCUGGCACAAGAACUGUCAUCUGGAGAAGCGUCACCUCCUGUCCGGCUGAGGUUCCACGGGGCUUCUGCCAGAGACCUGAAUAAAUGUUAUAGAAC